rnacentral:rRNA from 1 species
GAUGAACGCUGGCGGCGUGCCUAAUACAUGCAAGUCGAGCGAACGGUCGAGAAGUUUGCUUGUCUGAUGUUAGCGGCGGACGGGUGAGUAACACGUGGCUAACCUCCCUAUAAGACUGAACUAACGUAGAGAAACGGUAGCUAAUACCAUAUAAUAUUUUGAACCUCCUGUUUCUAAAAUAAAUGACGGCCUUGUUAGCACUUAUUGAUGGAUCUGCGCUGCAUUAGCUAGUUAGUAAGGAAACGGCUUAACAAGGCAACGCUCCAUAGCCGAACGGAGAGGAUGGUCAGCCAACCUGGAAGUGUGACACGGCCCAAGCUCUUACAGAAACCAGCCGUAGGGCAUCUGCCGCCAAGGGCGAAAGACUUACGGCGCAACACCGCGUGAGUGAUCCAGGUCUUCGGUUCGUACAACUCUGUUAUUAGGGAUGAAAAGAGGUGUAAGUACCUGAGAAACAAUUGACGGUACCAACUGAGAAAGCCACGGCUAACUACGUG